ACAACCGUUUCAAUCCCUUUUGUGUUGAUAUUCAAGGGCUUGGUUAUGGUGGAUGGAGAUGAUGUGUACGCACUUGUUGAGUUCCUACCUCCCCACCGAAAUUUAGAGGCGGCCUGCCCCCACGUAUUUUUGCGGCGUUGUAAAAGCUCACCAGCACUUUCCGCUUGCAAUCGUGGGUUCAUGGCUUGCCAUUUGAGAAACCCCCCAUAUUUCAAA
rnacentral:misc_RNA from 1 species